UUCCGGUUGAUCCUGCCGGAGGUCACUGCUAUUGGGGUUCGGCUAAGCCAUGCGAGCGGAGGGCGCGGUCGAGAGAUCGUGGCCCCGCACACGGCUCAGUAACACGUAGUCAACCUACCCUUGGGACGGGGACAACCUCGGGAAACUGAGGCUAAUUCCCGAUAGGCGAGGGACGCUGGGAUGCCUCCUCGCCCAAAGCUCCGGCGCCCGAGGAUGGGACUGCGGCCUAUCAGGCUGUUGGUGGUGUAACGGACCACCAAACCUACGACGGGUACGGGCGAUGGGAGUCGGAGCCCGGAGAUGGGGACUGAGACAAGGCCCCAGGCCCUACGGGGCGCAGCAGGCGCGAAAACUCCGCAAUGCGCGCAAGCGUGACGGGGGGAUCCCAAGUGCCGUUGGUCUUUUGAUCGACGGCUUUUCGGAAGUCUAAGAAGCUUCCGGAAUAAGGGCUGGGUAAGACUGGUGCCAGCCGCCGCGGUAACACCAGCAGCCCAAGUGGUGACCACGAUUAUUGGGCCUAAAGCGCUCGUAGCCGGGUCAGCAAGUCCCUUGUGAAAUCGGGCCGCCUAACGGUUCGGCGUGCAAGGGGUACUGUUGGUCUUGAGGCCGGGAGAGGUCGGAGGUACUCCUGGGGUAGCGGUGAAAUGCUCUAAUCCUGGGGGGACCACCAGUGGCGAAGGCGUCCGACCAGAACGGACCUGACGGUGAGGGGCGAAGGCUAGGGGAGCGAACGGGAUUAGAUACCCCGGUAGUCCUAGCUGUAAAGCAUGCGGGCCAGGUGUCUAGUGCUCCUCGAGGGCACUAGGUGCCGGAGGGAAGCCGUUAAGCCCGCCGCCUGGGAAGUACGGCCGCAAGGCUGAAACUUAAAGAAAUUGGCGGGGGAGCACACAAGGGGUGGGACCUGCGGUUCAAUUGGACUCAACGCGGU
rnacentral:rRNA from 1 species